GGGUUGUGAGGUUAAGCGACUAAGCGUACACGGUGGAUGCCCUGGCAGUCAGAGGCGAUGAAGGACGUGCUAAUCUGCGAAAAGCGUCGGUAAGGUGAUAUGAACCGUUACAGCCGGCGAUGUCCGAAUGGGGAAACCCAGUGUGAUUCGUCACACUAUCGUUAACUGAAUACAUAGGUUAACGAGGCGAACCGGGGGAACUGAAACAUCUAAGUACCCCGAGGAAAAGAAAUCAACCGAGAUUCCCCCAGUAGCGGCGAGCGAACGGGGAGCAGCCCAGAGUCUGAAUCAGCUUGUGUGUUAGUGGAACGGUCUGGAAAGUCCGACGGUACAGGGUGAUAGUCCCGUACACCAAAAUGCACAGGCUGUGAACUCGAAGAGUAGGGCGGGACACGUGGUAUCCUGUCUGAAUAUGGGGGGACCAUCCUCCAAGGCUAAAUACUCCUGACUGACCGAUAGUGAACCAGUACCGUGAGGGAAAGGCGAAAAGAACCCCGGCGAGGGGAGUGAAAAAGAACCUGAAACCGUGUACGUACAAGCAGUGGGAGCACCUUCGGGUGUGACUGCGUACCUUUUGUAUAAUGGGUCAGCGACUUAUAUUCUGUAGCAAGGUUAACCGUAUAGGGGAGCCGCAGGGAAACCGAGUCUUAACUGGGCGUUAAGUUGCAGGGUAUAGACCCGAAACCCGGUGAUCUAGCCAUGGGCAGGUUGAAGGUUGGGUAACACUAACUGGAGGACCGAACCGACUAAUGUUGAAAAAUUAGCGGAUGACUUGUGGCUGGGGGUGAAAGGCCAAUCAAACCGGGAGAUAGCUGGUUCUCCCCGAAAGCUAUUUAGGUAGCGCCUCGUGAAUUCAUCUUCGGGGGUAGAGCACUGUUUCGGCUAGGGGGUCAUCCCGACUUACCAACCCGAUGCAAACUACGAAUACCGAAGAAUGUUAUCACGGGAGACACACGGCGGGUGCUAACGUCCGUCGUGAAGAGGGAAACAACCCAGACCGCCAGCUAAGGUCCCAAAGUCACAGUUAAGUGGGAAACGAUGUGGGAAGGCACAGACAGCCAGGAUGUUGGCUUAGAAGCAGCCAUCAUUUAAAGAAAGCGUAAUAGCUCACUGGUCGAGUCGGCCUGCGCGGAAGAUGUAACGGGGCUAAACUGUGCACCGAAGCUGCGGCAGCGACACUAUGUGUUGUUGGGUAGGGGAGCGUUCUGUAAGCCUGCGAAGGUGGCCUGUGAGGGUUGCUGGAGGUAUCAGAAGUGCGAAUGCUGACAUAAGUAACGAUAAUGCGGGUGAAAAGCCCGCACGCCGGAAGACCAAGGGUUCCUGUCCAACGUUAAUCGGGGCAGGGUGAGUCGACCCCUAAGGCGAGGCCGAAAGGCGUAGUCGAUGGGAAACAGGUUAAUAUUCCUGUACUUGGUGUUACUGCGAAGGGGGGACGGAGAAGGCUAUGUUAGCCGGGCGACGGUUGUCCCGGUUUAAGCAUGUAGGCGGAGGUUCCAGGUAAAUCCGGUACCUUUUUAACGCUGAGGUGUGAUGACGAGGCACUACGGUGCUGAAGUAACAAAUGCCCUGCUUCCAGGAAAAGCCUCUAAGCAUCAGGUAACAUU
rnacentral:rRNA from 1 species